rnacentral:lncRNA from 1 species
CUGUGGAAAAUUUAUCGGAUGUUACGAGAUAAGUAGAGAGUGAGAUUUGAUUGAUGUGAGAGAGAAAAGAAAGGAUAGGAAUGCAUUUAUUAGAGUGCCAAGUGUCAAUUUUCCAUUGGUUUGACUUUAAGAGUUACUAUUCACUAUUUUGACCUUUGACCAAAAUUGGUUAAAUAUCUCCAAAAAUUCACAAAAUUCACCAUUUUCUUCCCUUGUGUUGGCCGAACCUCUCAUCAAAGAAGAAAGAAAAACUCUUCCAAGUUUAAGCUUCCAACAAGCUCAAAUCACCCAACUCAAGUCCUUAAACUAGAAUCUACUCCAUGAAAUUCCUUCCUUUGGUGCUCUUGAGUGUAUUAGUGAAGUUGAUUUGAAGAGC